rnacentral:ncRNA from 1 species
AAAAAUUCGACGAUGGAUCGAGUACGUGACACACUCUCCAAAAUAGAGAGAAGCACCCUUGGCUGGAAGGUGCUUUGGAGGAAGAGUCAUGGAAGGCUAAUCCGGAGUGCGGGUUAAUUUCCGCCGGGUACGCGCCGUUAUAGCGAUGGAAGACAGUGUCUUCAUUGAGUGAUGAAUGGAUUUCCAUUCAUAACCAGGGUGGUACCGCGAAAGUUAACUCUCGUCCCUGCA